UUUAUAACAUGUAACACACGGCUUCCUUUGUCAUAUCUUCAGUUUCUUGCGUUGUUAAAUGGUGGCAGCAUGGCAAAAUGGCGGGGUGGAUUUUAUGGUAGAUAACAUCGAUGAAAAUUUGGUCUUUAACCAAUCUGAAUGACAUCAUGUAAUUCAUGUAGCCGACCUCACCUCACCUAAUGGGAUAAGGUUUUGUUGCUCUUGCUAGAAGGACAAGAUAGUGUGGGGUUUUAUAGAGCCUUGGACUCCCUCAACUACAACAACUACCUUUUGUGGUGUGUUUUUCCUAAUGUUUUUAUUAGCGCCCAUGCUCAUUUUCUGAUGUUCAUUCAAAAUCAAUAUAGAACCAGUUUUUGAAGUUUGUUUCCUGUUUGAUUACUUGGCAAAAUGGAGCAUGAAGUUUGCAUAUAGUUUACUCAUUUAGGUCUUAGCAAAUAGAAUAAAUUAUUUCAGCCGAGUUCUAUGUUAACAGCACUUGUAUCUGACAGGAGAAGGUUAAAUACUAUGAUAUAGCCCCAGAAAAACGUAUAGAAUUUGAUAGAGCAAUGGCAGAAUUUAACAAUAAAAUGCAAACUAGUGUUGUGGAUUAAAUCAAACGAAGAAUCAAAAGAUCAGUGCGGCAGACUAAUUCGAGAAAGAAAUUCAAAGCAAAGCAAAAGAAGAGCAAGCAAAAGUUUGAUGCUAUGAAACCAAAGAAACCUCUUGCGGCCUUCUUCUUGUUCUUGUACAGCAGCUACAUUUGUUCCCCCUUUUUCUUUAUUUAUUCUGGUUACAUGUGAUCUUGUAAGAGGUGUUAAUUAUUCUGUGUGUUAGACUUGUUUGGGGAAAAUGUUAAUUUUAUCAGAAUUUAGCUAGUUUCAUGUAUUCGUUUUAUAGAUAUCUGCCAUAUCCAUAGCUAGCUUUGUAUAUUUUGAGUUUCUAACUUGAAAGGUAGCAAAACACAAGACAUGAUUUUUUGUAAUAAUUUACCCUUGGAAGUAAUGUCAUCUCUAAAGUAGAUGGGAUUCAUUCUAUUUCAUGCA